rnacentral:rRNA from 1 species
UGGGGAAUAUUGGACAAUGGGCGAAAGCCUGAUCCAGCCAUGCCGCGUGUGUGAAGAAGGUCUUCGGAUUGUAAAGCACUUUAAGUUGGGAGGAAGGGCAGUAAGCGAAUACCUUGCUGUUUUGACGUUACCGAAAGAAUAAGCACCGGCUAACGCUGUGCCAGCAGCCGCGGGAAUACAGAGGGUGCAAGCGUUAAUCGGAAUUACUGGGCGUAAAGCGCGCGUAGGUGGUUCGUUAAGUUGAAUGUGAAAGCCCCGGGCUCAACCUGGGAACUGCAUCCAAAACUGGCGAGCUAGAGUAGGGCAGAGGGUGGUGGAAUUUCCUGUGUAGCGGUGAAAUGCGUAGAUAUAGGAAGGAACACCAGUGGCGAAGGCGACCACCUGGGCUCAUACUGACACUGAGGUGCGAAAGCGUGGGGAGCAAACAGG